GACACUAUGGCCGAGUGGUUAAGGCGACAGAUUCGAACUUCGUUUGAAUAUCUGUUUCCCUUUGGGAGCGCAGGUUCAAAUCCUGCUGGUGUCG